UCGAGGAUCAUUUGCAAUGGGCGAAAGCCUGACAAUGCGACGCUGCGUGGAGGAUGAAGGCCUUCGGGUUGUAAACUCCUGUCAUGGGGGAACAGGCGAGGGGACCCAAUACGUCCCUUAGUUGAGUGUACCCCAAGAGGAAGCGACGGCUAACUCUGUGCCAGCAGCCGCGGUAAUACAGAGGUCGCGAGCGUUGUUCGGAUUUACUGGGCGUAAAGGGCGCGUAGGCGGCGGAGCGUGUCGGAUGUGAAAUCCCCGGGCCCAACCCGGGAAGUGCGUCCGAAACUGCCCCGCUGGGGGACGGAAGAGGGAAUCGGAAUAUAGGGUGUAGCGGUGAAAUGCGUUGAUAUCCUAUAGAACACCGGAUGCGAAGGCGGAUUCCUGGUACGUAUCUGACGCUGAGGCGC
rnacentral:rRNA from 1 species